rnacentral:rRNA from 1 species
UCGGGAAUUUUGGGCAAUGGGGGAAACCCUGACCCAGCAACGCCGCGUGAAGGAUGAAGUAUUUCGGUAUGUAAACUUCGAAAGAAUAGGAAGAAUAAAUGACGGUACUAUUUAUAAGGUCCGGCUAACUACGUGCCAGCAGCCGCGGUAAUACGUAGGGACCAAGCGUUGUUCGGAUUUACUGGGCGUAAAGGGCGCGUAGGCGGCAUGACAAGUCACUUGUGAAAUCUCUGGGCUUAACCCAGAACGGCCAAGUGAUACUGUCGCGCUAGAGUGCAGAAGGGGGCAAUCGGAAUUCUUGGUGUAGCGGUGAAAUGCGUAGAUAUCAAGAGGAACACCUGAGGUGAAGACGGGUUGCUGGGCUGACACUGACGCUGAGGCGCGAAAGCCAGGGGAGCAAA